CCAAGGACAUUGCUGGGCUCGAAGCCUUAAUUCACUGUCCACUCCUUCCCGUUCCAGAAAAAGAAAACAAGCAAAUGUGGUGAAGAAUCGUAGCAAUGUCAUCCAUUGUUAUGCUUUGAGGAUUUUAUGGAUGUCGCAUUCGCAAGAACCAAGAAGGAAACAAGACAAGAUGCACUAAAAAAUGCAACCCAUUUUUGUUUGUCUUCUUCCCAAUCCCGGACUCCCAGUUCUCUCUCUCUGUUUCUUAAAUCAUAAAAAUAUUUUGUUCCCAUAUCCCAAAACCCCAGAUUUUCGAACACUUAACCGUAUCAAAUGAAACUGCCACACAGAGAGAGCCAACAAUGCCAGCCCAUCUCAGAUGGAACGCUCAGGGUGCGCUUCACAUGCCUCCCAAUGCCAUAUCACUGGAGAAACUCCAAAUCAGAAAACGCACAUCGAAGCUCAACCACAAACCUAGUCAACCUAACUGUGUAUUGCGAGAUUGGAGCUAUACUUGGAUCCAGAUGUGUGUGUGUGUGUUUUUUUUUUCUUUGGUAAUUUCAAGGCAAGGAAUUAGGCAUUUGUUUUAGAACUGUUCAAGAUAGUAUAUUAAUGUGUUGUAGUGUGUUAUUUUACAGUGUGACAAAGCAUAAAACAAAAUCCCCACUAUUGUUGUACAAGAAUAUAGAUUGAUACACAAGCAUCCACAAA